GUCCCCAACGUGGUUCUUGUCUACGAACACGUUGGAGCAGUUGAAAGUGAGCCCACUCUGACUAUGAAGCUUCAUCAGGAGGAUGUUCUGGCCACACCAGUAAUAGGACACUUCGUUUGUGGUGGCCCUGUCAGCGUCCCCUGUCUGGAAAACACCCCCUCAUCUCCAGGUGAUGCCAACGCUUCUGGGCCACAGGGCAAGGGGCUGGUCUA
rnacentral:lncRNA from 1 species